rnacentral:rRNA from 1 species
AACGUAGGUACCGAGCGUUAUCCGGAUUUACUGGGCGUAAAGCGUGUUCAGGCGGCCUGGCAAGUCGGGCAUGAAAUCUCUCGGCUCAACCGAGAGAGGCUGUCCGAUACUGCUGGGCUUGAGGACGGUAGAGGGUGGUGGAAUUCCGCGUGUAGUGGUGAAAUGCGUAGAUAUUCGCAAGAACACCAGUGGCGAAGGCGGCUCACUGGUCCGGUACUGACGCUGAGGUGCGAAAGCGUGGGGAGCAAACAGG